rnacentral:rRNA from 1 species
CAGUCGCCGCGGUAAUGCGUAGGUGGCAAGCGUUGUCCGGAAUUAUUGGGCGUAAAGCGCGCGCAGGUGGUUUAAUAAGUCUGAUGUGAAAGCCCACGGCUCAACCGUGGAGGGUCAUUGGAAACUGUUAAACUUGAGUGCAGGAGAGAAAAGUGGAAUUCCUAGUGUAGCGGUGAAAUGCGUAGAGAUUAGGAGGAACACCAGUGGCGAAGGCGGCUUUUUGGCCUGUAACUGACACUGAGGCGCGAAAGCGUGGGGAGCAAACAGGAUUAGAUACCCCGGUAGUCCCUGUCUCUUAUAC